rnacentral:rRNA from 1 species
UACGUAGGUGGCAAGCGUUACUCGGAAUCACUAGGCGUAAAGCGCAGGUAGGCGGUUGGAUAAGUUUCUUGUGAAAGCUCCCGGCUCAACUGGGAGAGGCCAAGGAAUACUAUCUGACUAGAGUGUGGUAGGGGUAACUGGAAUUCCCGGUGUAGCGGUGAAAUGCGUAGAUAUCGGGAGGAAUACCUAUGGCGAAGGCAGGUUACUGGGCCAUCACUGACGCUGAGCUGCGAAAGCUAGGGGAGCAAACAGGAUUAGAUACCCUGGUAGUCCUAGCCCUAAACGAUGCUCAUUAGAUGUGGGAGGUAUCGACCCCUUCCGCGUCGGCGCUAACGCAUUAAAUGAGCCGCCUGGGGAGUACGGCCGCAAGGUUGAA